rnacentral:rRNA from 1 species
GGAUGAACGCUGGCGGCGUGCCUAAKACAUGCAAGUCGAGCGAACAGACGAGGAGCUUGCUCCUCUGACGUUAGCGGCGGACGGGUGAGUAACACGUGGAUAACCUACCUAUAAGACUGGGAUAACUUCGGGAAACCGGAGCUAAUACCGGAUAAUAUAUUGAACCGCAUGGUUCAAUAGUGAAAGACGGUUUUGCUGUCACUUAUAGAUGGAUCCGCGCCGCAUUAGCUAGUUGGUAAGGUAACGGCUUACCAAGGCAACGAUGCGUAGCCGACCUGAGAGGGUGAUCGGCCACACUGGAACUGAGACACGGUCCAGACUCCUACGGGAGGCAGCAGUAGGGAAUCUUCCGCAAUGGGCGAAAGCCUGACGGAGCAACGCCGCGUGAGUGAUGAAGGUCUUCGGAUCGUAAAACUCUGUUAUUAGGGAAGAACAAAUGUGUAAGUAACUAUGCACGUCUUGACGGUACCUAAUCAGAAAGCCACGGYUAAY